rnacentral:rRNA from 1 species
CGCCCUUAGAGUUUGAUCAUGGCUCAGAUUGAACGCUGGCGGCAGGCUUAACACAUGCAAGUCGAACGGUAUAGGUGCUUGCACCUGACGAGUGGCGGACGGGUGAGUAAUGUAUGGGGAUCUGCCGAAUGGAUUGGGACAACCACUGGAAACGGUGGCUAAUACCGAAUAAUGUUGAGAGACCAAAGUGUUUCGACAUGCCAUUUGAUGAACCCAUAUGGGAUUAGCUAGUAGGCGGGGUAAUGGCCCACCUAGGCGACGAUCUCUAGCUGGUCUGAGAGGAUGACCAGCCACACUGGGACUGAGACACGGCCCAGACUCCUACGGGAGGCAGCAGUGGGGAAUAUUGCACAAUGGGGGAAACCCUGAUGCAGCCAUGCCGCGUGUAUGAAGAAGGCCUUCGGGUUGUAAAGUACUUUCGGUAGUGAGGAAGGUUACUAUUAACAUAGUAAAUUGACGUUAAUUACAGAAGAAGCACCGGCUAACUCCGUGCCAGCAGCCGCGGUAAUACGGAGGGUGCGAGCGUUAAUCGGAAUGACUGGCGUAAAGGGCAUGUAGGUGAAUAAUUAAGUUAGGUGUGAAAGCCCCGAGCUCAACUUGGGAAUUGCACUUAAAACUGGUU